rnacentral:rRNA from 1 species
GAUGAACGCUGGCGGCGUGCCUAAUACAUGCAAGUCGAACGCUGGAAAUCUAGCUUGCUAGAUUGAAGGAGUGGCGAACGGGUGAGUAAUACAUAAGCAACCUACCCACGAAGACUGGGAUAAUCUCUGGAAACGGGGACUAAUACCGGAUAGGUAAUCGGAAGGCAUCUUCUGAUUAUUAAAGGUUAAAAACACUGGUGGAUGGGCUUAUGGCGCAUUAGUUAGUUGGUGAGGUAACGGCCCACCAAGACGAUGAUGCGUAGCCGGCCUGAGAGGGUGAACGGCCACAUUGGGACUGAGACACGGCCCAGACUCCUACGGGAGGCAGCAGUAGGGAAUUUUCGGCAAUGGGGGAAACCCUGACCGAACAACGCCGCGUGAGUGAUGACGGCCUUCGGGUUGUAAAGCUCUGUUGUAAGGGAAGAACGGUAGAUAGAGAAUAUCUAAAUGACGGUACCUUACCAGAAAGCCACGGCUAACUACGUG